GCAAGGCGUGGGGCGCUAUGGGGCUGCGCAGUGCCUUAACGAUUCCCGUUUCACGGAUGAGACGACUCCGGCACAGAGAAGUCAGAGGGCCUGUCCUGGGUCACACAGCCACAGGCGGCCCCAGAACGGGACUUCAGGGUACACCACUGCACCCCAGCAGAGGCCUCUGCCUGGCACACAGGGAAUGCUGGAGCAAUACUUGAAUAAGAACAUACAGUGGCAUAAGAGAGACCAACUUGGUGAUAACUGAUCAUAGGAUUAGACCAAGGUGCAGAAGCAAACAGAACCUCCAUAAAAUGUAAUGAUGUCUCGUGCCUGCAAUCCUAGUGCUUUCAGAGGCCAAGGCGGGAAGAUUCCUUGAGCUCGGGAGCUCAAGACCAGCCUGAACAACACAACAAGACCUCGUAUCUAUUAAAAAAUAAAAAUAAUAAAAUUAGCUGCACACCUAAUUGGUGGCACACACCUGUGGUCCUAGGUACUCGGGAGGCUGAGAUGAGAUCAUUUGAGCCCAGGAGAUCAAGGCUGCAAUCAGCUAUGAUCAUGCCACUGCCCUCCAGCCUGGACAACUGAGCGAGACCCUGUCUCCAAAAAAAAAUAAAAUUAAAAAAAAA
rnacentral:antisense_RNA from 1 species